CAUAAAAGUCUUGCUAUCCUGAACUGCCGUAAAGGAGAGACUACGUAGAAAAUACAGAUGCCUAAAUACUUGCAGCUCCUUUAGCUUUCAGCUACUUAAUUCUUCCCAGCCUGGACACAGACUUGGAAGGGGAAACUAUGGCUCAGAGAAAUUGAGUGACCUUCUCAAUGUCAUAUAGAAGGAAAGUGUCAAAACCUGGAUUUGGAGACCUGGGAAAGAUGGGAAGAACUGUCUGUUGGGUGUAGCGGGAAGCAGGACCUGAUGCUGGAAGGGAGAAAAGAUAACCAUGCUAAAUGAAGAAAACUGACCACAAGAAUUCCAGUCCAACAGAAAAUAUA
rnacentral:lncRNA from 10 species